UCAGUAGCCGACCUGAGAGGGUGACCGGCCACAUUGGGACUGAGACACGGCCCAGACUCCUACGGGAGGCAGCAGUGGGGAAUAUUGCACAAUGGGGGAAACCCUGAUGCAGCGACGCCGAAAGAGCGAUGAAGUAUUUCGCUACCUAAAGCUCUAUCAGCAGGGAAGAAAAUGACAAAACAAGACUAAGAAGCCCCGGCUAACUACGUGCCAGCAGCCGCGGUAAUACGUAGGGGGCAAGCGUUAUCCGGAUUUACUGGGUGUAAAGGGAGCGUAGACGGCGGUGCAAGCCAGAUGUGAAAGCCCGGGGCUCAACCCCGGGACUGCAUUUGGAACUGUGCUGCUAGAGUGUCGGAGAGGCAGGCGGAAUUCCUAGUGUAGCGGUGAAAUGCGUAG
rnacentral:rRNA from 1 species